UAUUGUAAUGUUUGUUCUAGCCCUGACAGCAUUGCUAGGAUGCAAUAACCUGAGAAAAAUGAGAUACUAUAGUAUUUCUAUUGUUAUACAGUGUUUGUUAAUUGUUACUGCCAGUUAACAAUAAUUUACGGCUUUUUGGUAGAUUAUUUUGUCACUUUCUCUCUAUUUUCAUCUAAAAAUGUGGUUUGGAUCAUUCAUGAGGAAAAAAACUAUCCGAUUCAAUAUUAAGUAUUUGUAGUUUUGAUAUGGUUUUGAUGAUUCUCAAAAAAAUGUUGAUCCAAAUCAAAUUUCUGUAGUUAAUAUUAGAUCAGUUUUCAUUUAAUCUAAAUUAUAAUUAUAAAAUACUAUACUAUAAGACUUAUAAAUCUAAAGUGUAAUUCUAUGUUAUUAAAACAGUAUACCAGAGACACUUAAUAUUGCUGCCAGUACUGUACAAUGCUACUAUAACUACAAACAGAGGGCGAUUUCAAAUCAUAUAAUAGUAUACUGCAUUUGUACUAACUGAAGGCAUUUUCAAUAUCUCAUAGUAGGCAUACUGCCAAUUGCUUUUUCACAGCUGAACUGGUAAUUGGGAUACCGCUAAAGCGUGGCCAUUCUGUCGUACCGUAUUGAAGUGCAUAAUAUCUGGAUUUGUACUGUAAUUUGUAAAAUAAGCAUAAAUAGUAUAAUAUUUGCGUUGGUUCUCUUUACUUUCCUUAAACAAAAACAUUAAAUUAUCGCGUUCUUUUGAAGAAUGGUAAAAGGUGCCUUAAAAAAAGUAGCUGGUGAUAUGACAUUAAGUUAAGUAUAAGUUGAGUCAUAAUUAAUUAAAAAAUGGUAUUUUAUAUAAAUUGGAGGUUAUUUUAUUUUUGGGUGAAAAUUAUAAAAUCCUAUUAAAAUAUUAUAAUUACUGUGUUAAAAAGAUAACAAUAAACUCUUCUGCCAAUUACCGUAAAAAAAAGCGGAGGUAAAAACACAUUUCUUAUACAUAUAUUUGUUCAAACUGAUAUAUCUUUUGAGACAGUCGAACUAUUUAUAGAGCUCUUCACUUUAAUUUGACCCUAAUUUUUAGUAUAAUAACCUUUUAUUUAGAAAAAAACAAGCUACUCAUUAUUUUUCAUAAUACCGUCACAAUCUGCAAAUGUGUCCUCAUGUCCUCGAGGCACACCGAAGUACCAAGAACCUUCAUGAACUUCCGCAAUUAACAUCUCCUCAGGUCUGUACGUUUCAACAGCCUGAGUAUCUUGAAAAGCUUACACACAUCAACAUNNNNNNNNNNNNNNNNNNNNNNNNNAGCACCAACUCCACUUCCUCUAGCAUUGACAGCCCCAUCAACAACAAAGUCCACUUUUCGUUCGGAUCAGGUCCCUCCCAACAACUGGCUCUUCAUAGUCUUUCAUCUUGAGGAACAUGAGUCUUCAUCAGGAAUUCAAACUUCAUCGGCUCAUAAUCAUCAAUCGGCUGCUCGGCAAGGUUAGUCUGACAGAAUACUUCCUUUUGAUGGCCUUUUGCCGACGUGUAUUGAAUAUCAUACUCUGUUAAAAUCAUUUUGCCAACGAGCGACCCUCCGGUGAGAGCUGGCUUCUCGAUAUGUAUUUCACUGGAUCCAUCUUUAGAAUCACAAGGUAGUAUGGUUCAACAUAUACUGCCUCAGUCGCGAGCAGCCCAGCCAAAGCACAGCAAGUUUUCUCAAGCUGUGAAUAUUUGAUUUCACAGUCGGUAAACUUUUUGCUAAGGUAGUAUAUGGCAUGCCUUUUCGACCAGACUCGUCAUGCUUCCCAAUACACCACCCCAUCGAGUUCUCAGUCACUGAGAGUACAUUAUCAGAGGUCUCCCAGGAACUUGAGGUAUAAGGAUCGGAGUUCUGUAGAUACUCUUUUAUCUUCUCGAAAGCCUUUGACAAUCUUCAUUCACUUGAAUCCUGAUCUUUCCUCAGCAAUUUUGAAAAUUGGCUCACACGUGGUUGUUUAGGUGAGAGAUGAACCUUGCAAUGUAGUUCAACCUCCUAAGAAACUACGGACUUGCUUCUCUGUUCUGGCUCAGGCAUUCCUGUACGCUUUUACUUUGUCGGGAUCCACCUCAAUCCCUUUUCCGCUAACAAUAAAACCCAGCAAUUUUCCCGAUCUCACCCCAAAAGUGCACUUGUUCCGGAAUUAAGUCUCAGUUUGAAUUUCCUCAAACGCUCAAACAGUUCUGCAAAUUCAACAAAUGUUCUUCUUCUGUCUGAGAUUGGCAAUCAUAUCAUCAACAUAAACUUCGAUUUCAUGAUGAAUCAUAUCAUUAACAGAGUUACCAUAGCUCGUUGAUAUGUUGCUUCCGGCAUUUUUCAGACAAACGGCAUCACCUUGUAGCAGAAGGUGCCCAUGGGUAUGAAAGUUGUCUUUUCCAUGUCUCUGGUGCCAUCUUGAUUUGGUUAUAGCCAGGAAAAGCCAUCCAUGAAGGGAGAAUACGAAACUGAGCUGUAUUAUCCACAAACGUCGAUGUGAGGUAAUGGGAAAUCAUCUUUAGGGCUAGCUCUGUUCAGAUCCCGGUAGUCGACACACAUCCGUACCUUUCCGUCCUUCUUAGGUACUGGGACGAUGUUUGCAACCCAUGGGGAUAAUUGGUGACUGCUAGAACCCUGCAUCCAACUGCUUUGCACUUCUUUCCUUUAUCUUGACAGCCAUCUCUGGUCUUGUUCUUCUGAGUUUCUGCUUGACCGGGAGGACAAACCUUCUUGAGAGGCAAGCGGUGUACCACGAUGUCUGUGUCCAGCCCAGGCAUGUCCUGAUAAGACCAGGCGAAGAUGUCAACGUAUUCUUGCAGCAAUUCAAUCAGCCUUUUCUUCACAUUGUCUUCUAAAGCACCCCAUAUCUUGAUUUCUCUCUUGGCGUCCUCGGUGCCGAGAUUAAUCACUUCAACAAACUCUUGAUGCGGUUGAAUAACCCCUUCCUCUUGUUUUAAUAACCUGGCAAGUUCUUCAGGGAGUUCACAGUCUUCAUCACCCUCUUCUUCAGCUUGAAAGAUUGGAUUUUCAAAGUCGAAACGAGCCGUAGCAGAAACGUUAUCAAUAGGAUCCAGUGAUGUGCAUCUGCAUGAGUGAUGUUAUGUGCUUAUGAGUGUGAACAAGAAGUGAAAACUAAACAAAACAUUGCCAUUUUUUUUAUUUUGAAAAACUGCAAAAAUAGAAAGACAGGGAACAAAAUAUUUGAAUGCAAAAAUACGUCCUUUAUUUAUGAUAAAAAUGCAAGUGUCACAUAGAUGGGCUUUACAAUGAGUCAUUACGCCCUGGGCGGAACGUAAGACUUGGAUAUGCAUGAAUAAACAAAGAAAAUUACUCUUCAAGAAGAGUGACUUGGAUAAUCUCUUCAGAAGACCAAUUGUUGAUGACUUCACGGGAUCCUCGAGACGCCCCAGUUGUCAAUGUCACAAUGCUAUCCCCAUCUUCUUCGUUGAUUGCAGAGACUUGACCAUACUGAAAUGAUGCCAGCGCUGGAGAAAGUAAUCGGCCCCUGAUGAGUCUGAGGCGUUGAAGUACACACAUCCGAAACAUCGGAAUCCAUUUCAGUUACAUCAUGGAUUACAGAAUCAGUAGGAACAACAUCUGCGAAUUCAUCAGUUACAUCAUGGAUUCAUUAAAAGUGAUUUAGUAUAAUCCUUCCCCAUGAAUGAAUUAGGUCAAAACAUGUUAUGUUACGUUCGAGUUUAGAUAUAAUUCAAAUACUUUACGUGAAAGACCGAAAUAUACGCAACCCUUCAAAUAUGAAGCCUAAAGUUGUUAGAUGAGAUGGUUUAGGCGAGACAACAUAUAUUAUCAUAUUUUAUUUAGGCUUAAAUAAUCUAUUGGUCCUUGUAAGUUAGCGAGUUUUUGAUUUUGAUCCCUGUAACUUUUUUUUUGUAUGAGUCUCUAUAUUGUGUUGGCGUUAGUCCCUGAGAUUAGAAUUAUGUUAAAAAAAACUGACUGGACUAACGGUGCACAUGUGAAAAUGCUGAGUUGGCUAAUAUUGCUAACGCGGCAGACCUUUUUUUAUAUUUUUUUUUUAUAUCCAGUAUUUCCAUGUCAGUUUUUUGUUUUUUUUUGUUUUCAUGUUAAAUCUCUGAAAUGCAAUGUUUAAAAAAUGGUGCUAAAAGGAGUUAAACUCAUGACCAUUGGAUUAACAUGAUAACACAUUACAACUAAAUCAACCAACACAUUUAUCUACUCUUUUGCAACAAAUAUAUAUAUAUAUAUAUUACGUAAUUCAUAUAGAAUUAUCUAAAUAGUAUACUAAUUAUUUUAAUUAUUUAGUUUAUUAAAUAUUUCAAUUAUUUAAUAUUUUAAUAUUAAAAAAAAUUAAUUAGUCUAAAUAUUAAUAUUUUAAUAUUAAAAAAAAAAUUAAUCUAAAUAUUAAUAUUUAAUAUUUAAUAUUUCAACUAUUAAACUAUCUUAACUAUUAAACUAUUUCAACUAAUUAAUUUAAAUAUAAACUAUUAACAUUUAAUAUUUUAUAUUUUAUAUUAAUAUUUAAAAUACUAAUUAAACUAAUUAUAAAUUCAAAUAUUUAAUAUUUCAAACAUUUAAUAUUUCAACUAUUUAAUAUUUCAAACUAAUAAUUAAAUACUUAUUUAAGAAUUUAAAAAGUUUUAUUAGUAUUUUAUUAUUAUGUGUUAUUUUGUAAUGUGUCAAUGAGAUAUAAGGACCUAGAAAAAAAUACAUGAAUCAAAUUUAAAAACUUAUUAAGUUAUAGGGUUGGAACCAAUAAACUAUUUAAAUUUUUCAUUUAUCAUUUAUAUAAAUAUAGUCUUAGAGUAAUGGAUAUCAAUUUUGAUAAUUUAGUAUAUACUAUUAAUUCAACGGCGGUCUUAUUUAAAAAAGUAUCAAUAUCCAAUAGUGAUAAUUACGAUGCCAAGUGUAUGUUGCACUAGUUUGAUGUUUGUUCCUAUCCAAAUCCAAUUCAGAUGGAAAAGACAGAGCUUGACAAAGUAAGUAGAUAGAAAGAAAAAUUGAACAAGAUACGAAAAAAGAAAAGAAAAAUAAACAAAGUUCAAUCCAACGUGAUAUGAACCCUCUUUCUUUCUUUAUCUGAUAAGGGAUUAAAUGGUCCUAUUUGUGGACCCAAUUUUUUGUCUGUAUUCUUUUUUCCUUUAUCUUAAUCAUAAUAAUAAUAAUGUACAUACAGAUUUCAUUACCACCUUUACCCCCUUUUCCCAUGGCUGGCUUCUUACCUUGCCAUGCCUUUUGCAAUAAUCCAAACCAUCACUCCUUUUCAACCCUCUCUCUCACACACACUACAUUUUUUUAGUAUAGACAUAUACAUGGUAUUCACGUGGCUAUGCUUGACCCAACCAACAAUGACUAAUACCAAUACACAUCCCUCACCAUACAAUAAAAUACUCGUUACAUAAUAAGCUGCCACAAUAUCAUAUCAUUCCUAUUCUACUCUUCAAUAAAUCCUCACUUGUUUCUUUUUCUUUUAUAUUCUAAAAAAAGUGGGAAUCUUAUUACCGGCGAUGGUUGAUACUACCGUCGCUCACCUUCCGGAGGAGAUUCUGUCUCAAGUGUUUGCUGCCAUCACUGAUACACGGACGAGAAACUCGCUUUCCCUUGUGUGUCGUAGCUUCUUCCGAUUAGAACGGAAGACGAGAGUCUCACUCACGCUCCGUGGGAACGCGCGUGACCUUUACAGGAUUCCAACUUCCUUCGCGCAUGUUACUAAUCUUGAUGUCUCGCUUCUCUCGCCAUGGGGUCACGCGCUCUUCUGUUCACCCGCCACUGCUGAUUCUCCGUUUCACUUUACAGGAUUCCAACUUCCUUCGCGCAUGUUACUAAUCUUGAUGUCUCGCUUCUCUCGCCAUGGGGUCACGCGCUCUUCUGUUCACCCGCCACUGCUGAUUCUCCGUUUCUAGCCCAGCGUCUCCGCAAUGCUUUCCCACGUGUGACUUCACUCACUGUCUACGUGCGUGACCCUCAAACGCUGCAUCUCCUAUUGUAUAGCCACUGGCCGGAGCUUCGUGACGUCCGUCUUGUCCGAUGGCACCAGCGGCCGCCGGAUUUGCAGCCAGGGUCCGACUUCGCCGCCUUGUUCUCGCGGUGCCGAUCGAUAACAUCGCUGGAUUUAUCUUCUUUCUACCACUGGCCGGAGGAUCUCCCACCGGUUCUAGCUGCAAACGCUGCCGCCGCCAUCUCGCUUCGCCGUUUGAAUCUCCUAACGACGUUCACGGAAGGCUUCAAGUCUAACCAAAUCGAAUCCAUCACUUCAUCGUGUCCUAAUCUGGAGCACCUUCUCGUGGCUUGCACUUUUGAUCCGAGAUGCAUAGGAUUUGUAGGCGACGAAACGCUGUUGGCCAUCGCUUCCAAUUGUCCCAAGCUCUCGCUUCUUCACAUGGCGGAUACGUCGUCGUUUUCAAAUCGUAGAGAGGAAGAGGGUGGAGAGGAUGCUAGUGUAAGCCGCGCCACGCUUCUAGCGUUGUUCUCUGGGCUUCCCCUUUUGGAAGAACUGGUUCUAGAUGUUUGUAAAAAUGUCAGUGAGAGUAGUUUUGCUUUCGAGAUGUUAAGCUCCAAAUGCCCCAAUCUGAAGGUUGUGAAGUUGGGUCAUUUUCAAGGGAUUUGUUUGGCAAUUGGGUCGAGGCUUGAUGGAAUUGCACUUUGCCACGGGCUUCAAUCCUUGUCUGUUAUCUGCUGCGGUGACCUUGAUGAUAUGGGGUUGAUUGAGAUUGGCAGGGGGUGUUCCCGGUUGGUAAGGUUUGAGAUUCAGGGAUGCAAGCUUGUUACGGAAAAAGGGUUGAAAACCAUGACUUGCUUACUUCGUAGGACAUUGAUUGAUGUCAAGGUCGCUUCCUGUGUCAACCUUGAUGCAGCUGCUACUCUCAGAGCUUUGGAACCAAUUCGGGACAGGAUUGAGAGGCUUCACUUGGAUUGUGUUUGGAAGGAAAGUGACAACCUUGGACAUAGUUUUCUCAACUUUGACUUGAAUGCUUCAGCUGAACUGAAUGAAUCUGAAUUAAUGGAAUGCUUUGGGGGUGAGGAAUAUGGAGAAGAUACUAGCAGAAGGAAGAGGCAGAGAUGUGAGUAUGGAUUCGAGGAUGAUGAUUCAUUUGUGCAUAGCAAUGGUAACAGUAGCGGCAACGACAAUGGCUACUCUUGCAAUAGUUGGGAAAGUUUACAUUACCUUUCUCUUUGGAUAAAGGUUGGUGAUCUUCUGACUCAGUUGCCAGCGGCAGGGUUAGAGGAUUGUCCCAAUCUAGAAGAGAUUCGCAUAAAGAUGGAAGGAGAUUGCAGAGGGCAACCGAAACCGGCUGUGAGUGAAUUUGGUCUGAGCAUACUGACUUGUUAUCCUCAGUUGUCAAAGAUGCAGCUGGAUUGCGGUGAUACAAGAGGCUAUGUAUACACCGCACCUUCAGGACAGAUGGAUUUGAGCUUGUGGGAGAGGUUCUUCCUUAAUGGAAUUGGCAGUUUGAGUCUAAAUGAGCUUCAUUACUGGCCACCACAAGAUGAGGAUGUGAACCAGAGGAGUCUGUCACUUCCAGCUGCUGGUUUGCUACAGGAAUGUUAUACUCUGAGGAAGCUUUUCAUUCAUGGAACAACUCAUGAGCACUUCAUGAACUUUUUCCUCAAAAUACCGAAUCUAAGGGAUGUUCAGCUGAGGGAGGAUUACUAUCCAGCUCCAGAGAAUGAUAUGAGCACAGAAAUGAGGGUGGGAUCAUGUAGCCGAUUUGAAGAUGCGUUGAAUAGGCGCAUAAUCUGUGACUGAUAUAUUGUAAUGUUUGUUCUAGCCCUGACAGCAUUGCUAGGAUGCAAUAACCUGAGAAAAAUGAGAUACUAGUAGUUCUUAUUGUUAUACAGUGUUUGUUAAUUGUUACUGCCAGUUAACAUAAUUUACGGCUUUGGUAGAUUAUUUGUCACUUUCUCCUCUAUUUUCAUCUAAAAUGUGGUUUGGAUCAAUUAUGAGGAAAAAAACUAUCCGA
rnacentral:lncRNA from 1 species